CAGCAGCCGCGGUAAUACGUAGGGUGCAAGCGUUAAUCGGAAUUACUGGGCGUAAAGCGUGCGCAGGCGGUUUCUUAAGUCUGAUGUGAAAGCCCCCGGCUCAACCGGGGAGGGUCAUUGGAAACUGGGAAACUUGAGUGCAGAAGAGGAGAGUGGAAUUCCACGUGUAGCGGUGAAAUGCGUAGAGAUGUGGAGGAACACCAGUGGCGAAGGCGGCUUACUGGCUCAUUCUAGACGCUGAGGUGCGAAAGCGUGGGGAGCAAACAGGAUUAGAUACCCCGGUAGUCCCUGUCUCUUAUAC
rnacentral:rRNA from 1 species